rnacentral:rRNA from 1 species
GAUGAACGCUGGCGGCGUGCCUAAUACAUGCAAGUCGAGCGAACAGACGAGGAGCUUGCUCCUUCGACGUUAGCGGCGGACGGGUGAGUAACACGUAGGUAACCUACCUAUAAGACUGGGAUAACUUCGGGAAACCGGAGCUAAUACCGGAUAAUAUUUCGAACCGCAUGGUUCGAUAGUGAAAGAUGGCUUUGCUAUCACUUAUAGAUGGACCUGCGCCGUAUUAGCUAGUUGGUAAGGUAACGGCUUACCAAGGCAACGAUACGUAGCCGACCUGAGAGGGUGAUCGGCCACACUGGAACUGAGACACGGUCCAGACUCCUACGGGAGGCAGCAGUAGGGAAUCUUCCGCAAAGGGCGAAAGCCUGACGGAGCAACGCCGCGUGAGUGAUGAAGGUCUUCGGAUCGUAAAACUCUGCUAUUAGGGAAGAACAAACGUGUAAGUAACUGUGCACGUCUUGACGGUACCUAAUCAGAAAGCCACGGCUAACUACGUG